UUUUGUUCAAUCGAAAAAUGUGUUCGCGUUCAAGUCUAAAAAUCUUAAGAUAUAUGUUUGUUACAAAAAAGAAUAAAAUUGUACCAAAUGAGUUGUACAACAAACUAUCAAAUCUGCUUAUCUUUGAAUUUCAGGGAGAUGGCAUAUCCGUGUUCAUUUCUAACGAGCUACAUCAUAAAUUUGAAAAUAGAUUCUUAUAACUGUGAACAACACUUACACAAUGCAAAAUUUUCAGAUAACCAAAAAUGAUGACCAGACUGAGGUUCAAUGGUGGAACUUUAGUUAAAGAUGUCAAUGUUCAUCAAAUUGCUGAUCCAGUCACAAAGUUGAAACCUUUUAGUGAAAUCACCAUUCUUGAAUUUCGUGAAGAUUUUUUAUAUGGCUAUUGUUGGAAAUAAGAAAGUUCAAGUUAGCCUUACUCUUCGAGACAUUGGGUAUCCUGCACCUUAUGUUCUAUAUAACAAUUUGUCACUCAUUGUCGUAUACUAAGGAAAAUGGCCCUUGACAAUUUCAAACACAUGGAGUACCACUAAGUUUUUCAUCAAUGAAGAAGUUCCAGAAAUUGUUCAGUUCAAGAAAAUCUUACUUGCCGGUAUUGAAAGCGGUAUAUAGUUGAUCGUUUUGCUGAAACUCCAUCACAAAUGAUGAGACAAUCAUAUGAAAGUUCGCAGUACAUACCGCAACAAAUAUUCAUGCACAAUUCUGAGAUCAUGCCUCUGAGGAAAAUUGUCCAACUACCACAGGUACUCCAUGUUUGUUAGAAGUUUUAAUUGAAUCUUGCAUACUUAUUGGAAUUUUACCAACUUAUAACAUUUACAUCUAUCUCAUUAUAAACUUCACUUUCAUUUCAUCAUGCCAACAUAUUAUGAGGAUCUGAAUACCAUUCUUCGUAGAAGAAUGCAAAAAACCAUUAUGUAUACAAUUCAUGUCAAAGAUCCUUAUGGUGAAAUCGAUCCUUUGUGUUUGCACACAAAUACUCUGACGAGUUAGAUGAUCAGUGACAAAUUUAUGGCUGCAAUUACAUGCAUUUGGUUACUUGGAAUCGCGAUGUUAAUCAACCUCGACUAACAACUGGAUGGCAAGAGAUUUGUGAAACUUUUGAGUUGCAGUAUCAUCUUCUUGGUUUAAUCUAUUAUGGUGACAACAUGUUUCAUUUGGUUCUUAAUCUAACUAAGGAAUCAUCAACAAAUGAAUUUCCAUCAUUUCACUCUAUAUCUACAAAACCAAAGCAUCCUUUAACUUUUGAGAUUGUUAUUUCAAAUGACCCUAAUAGCACAAGACAAUUAUUUCUAAACCAACAGCUAGCUGAAUACAUUAUUUCUUAUCAUGAUUACUUGGUGCUUGAAGGACCAGUAGUUGAGCCAAUUAUGUCUCAAAUCAUCAGGUCAAGAGGUCCAAACUAAGUCACAAGGUAUGAAGUAGAUGCUUGGCAACAAUUCUGCCUCGAAAACUGUUUCUCCAAUGGAGAUAUUGUCAAGCUCACUUUCUUUGAUCUUGAAAAGAGUAAUAGAGUUGAUGUUGAUAGGGUUAGUCAGUAAAUCUACGUGUCUUGAUCCAAAAUUUGUUUAGUAAAUGUGUUUUAGUAAUCAAAACAUGUAAUUAAGAUUAUGUGUUUUAUGCAAGUUAGUAGGCUACUUUAGCAGAAUCUUUUUUCAUGUUUAAUGACAAUUCCGUACUUAUGUUUCCUUAAUUAAGAGGUUUUCAUUGUUAAUCAAUUUUGGUGGCUUUCUGAUUUUCUUACAUCCAUGUACAACCAUCAAC